GAUGAACGCUGGCGGCGUGCCUAAUACAUGCAAGUCGAGCGAACAGAUGAGGAGCUUGCUCCUCUGACGUUAGCGGCGGACGGGUGAGUAACACGUGGAUAACCUACCUAUAAGACUGGGAUAACUUCGGGAAACCGGAUCUAAUACCGGAUAAUAUAUUGAACCGCAUGGUUCAAUAGUUAAAUACGGUUUUGCUGUCACUUAUAGAUGGAUCCGCGCCGCAUUAGCUAGUUGGUAAGGUAACGGCUUACCAAGGCAACGAUGCGUAGCCGACCUGAGAGGGUGAGCGGCCACACUGGAACUGAGACACGGUCCAGACUCCUACGGGAGGCAGCAGUAGGGAAUAUUCCGCAAUGGGCGAAAGCGUGACGGAGCAACGCCGCGUGAGUGAUGAAGGUCUUCGGAUCGUAAAACUCUGUUAUUAGGGAAGAACAAAUGUGUAAGUAACUAUGCACGUCUUGACGGUACCUAAUCAGAAAGCCACGGCUAACUACGUG
rnacentral:rRNA from 1 species